UACAGGCACAUACCAAUCCACCUGGCUAAUUUUUUAAUUUUAAAAAUUAAGGCCAGGCACAGUGGCUCAGGCCUGUA
rnacentral:miRNA from 10 species